rnacentral:rRNA from 1 species
AUGAGUUUUUACAGCCUUCACGAGACUCUUCACCAUGAGAUCGCCAAAUUCCAAUCUCCCUUCUAUUGGGCUGGGGAUAACAAUAAGCAGAAAUACCAUAUGGUUAGCUGGCCAGACAUCUGCAAGCCCCGGGAUCAAGGAGGACUCGGUAUCAUGUGCUCUAAGCGCAUGAAUAUUGCCCUGCUUUCCCGCUGGCUCUGGCGCAUUUUGCAAGGGCACGGCGGCCUUUGGUUAGACAUCAUCUGA